CAACUACUCCCUCCGUCCGGGAAUACUUGUCCUAAAAAUGAAUAAAAUGAAUGUAUUUAUAACUAAAAUAAGUCUAGAUACAACCAUUUCGAGGACAAGUAUUUCCGGACGGAGGGAGUAUCUC
rnacentral:pre_miRNA from 1 species